GUGAGGAAUAUUGGACAAUGGGCGCAAGCCUGAUCCAGCCAUGCCGCGUGCAGGAUGACGGUCCUAUGGAUUGUAAACUGCUUUUGUACGAGAAGAAACACUCCGACGUGUCGGAGCUUGACGGUAUCGUAAGAAUAAGGAUCGGCUAACUCCGUGCCAGCAGCCGCGGUAAUACGGAGGAUCCAAGCGUUAUCCGGAAUCAUUGGGUUUAAAGGGUCCGUAGGCGGCUUUAUAAGUCAGUGGUGAAAUCUCCCGGCUCAACCGGGAAAUGGCCAUUGAUACUGUAAGGCUUGAAUUAUUAGGAAGUAACUAGAAUAUGUAGUGUAGCGGUGAAAUGCUUAGAGAUUACAUGGAAUACCAAUUGCGAAGGCAGGUUACUACUAAUGGAUUGACGCUGAUGGACGAAAGCGUGGGUAGCGAACAGGAUUAGAAACCCCUGUAGUCC
rnacentral:rRNA from 1 species